AUUGAACGCUGGCGGCAUGCCUUACACAUGCAAGUCGAACGGCAGCACGGGGCAACCUGGUGGCGAGUGGCGAACGGGUGAGUAAUGCAUCGGAACGUACCUUUCAGUGGGGGAUAACGUAGCGAAAGUUACGCUAAUACCGCAUAUUCUGUGAGCAGGAAAGCAGGGGAUCGCAAGACCUUGCGCUGAUUGAGCGGCCGAUGUCAGAUUAGCGAGUUGGUGAGGUAAAGGCUCACCAAGGCGACGAUCUGUAGCGGGUCUGAGAGGAUGAUCCGCCACACUGGAACUGAGACACGGUCCAGACUCCUACGGGAGGCAGCAGUGGGGAAGUUUGGACAAUGGGGGCAACCCUGAUCCAGCCAUGCCGCGGGAGUGAAGAAGGCCUUCGGGUUGUAAAGCUCUUUCGGCCGGGAAGAAAUCGCACGGGCUAAUACUCUGUGUGGAUGACGGUACCGGAAUAAGAAGCACCGGCUAACUACGUGCCAGCCGCCGCCGUAAAAC
rnacentral:rRNA from 1 species